rnacentral:lncRNA from 1 species
CAAAGCAGCCGGGCUCCGCGGCCGCAGGGCGGCUCCGAGGACGCGCGGCUGGCCCAGCGCAGCCCUGCCCCGUGGGGCACGCCCGGAGUCCGCGCGCCGCCAGCCCUCGCGGCCCGCGCGGGAGGCGGCCGCCGCGUCCAGGGAGGGGUCUCGCCCGGGACACCCCUCCCUCCCCGCUGGGGGACCAUGGCACAGCCGGCUGCGCCCUGGCGCUCGGGGCUCCUGGCCCGCAUCCUCGGUGGCACCUGGUGCCUGCUCUAUGUCGCCGGACAGGAUUCCUUGGAAUUCAUGGAUUAAGUAUACCAGUACAUUGUCAAUUCUUCAAGGUAUGCGGAGACCAAAGCCAAGGGGCUGUUUUCCUGAGGGAAUUUACCCUGAUUCGAAGAGAGAGCCUUCAUGAAGAUUUCCUGUCUGACCUCUUGAAUAGUCACAAAACUGAAGACUCGGAGGAGGAUCUUCAACAGAAUGGGAGACUCAUCAACAAGAAAGCUUCUCGGUAUAGAUCACAAAAACCACUUGACAAAGGCAGUGCUUCAGGUGAAUGCAUCCCACAGACAAAUGCCACAGGAGCUGUUACGAAAUGGAGUCAGAGGAGCUGGUCAAUUCCACCAAGAACUCUUUCUUCUGAAACAGCAAUAGACAUCCCCAUUGGCCUCUAUGGAAAACCCAGGUGGAUAGCAGUGGUUCAUGCUAAUCCAGCUCUUUUGUCUCACAAGCUCCUUCCUGAGGGCUUCUGCUUUUCCAAUGACUGCCGGUGUAUAACGGCGAUAAACCAGACCCAAGCAACGAUUGCGCAGAUUCUCAGCCUGCUGCUAGAAAAUUUUGACAAGUGGAAGGUAGUUUACUCUUCCUUGCAAAGUCACUUGGAAAAUGACUGGCUUUUAAACCUAAGAGCUCUCUGUGAUUAUGAAUAUGUUUUCUAGUUUGGCAAAUACAAAAGAGUAGCUCAAGUUCAGAGAUCUGUUAAGACUUUGAGAAGCAAGGGAAAAAGACAUCUUCUUGCUAUGAACUCUACUGAUGCUCAUGUUACCAGUUGCUAAGCAUCCUGCCACAUAUCUCAGUCUUACCACAUGUGACUUUCUAAUUCAGCCUCGUUUGGAAAUUUUAAUUUUGCCAGAAUUCUGGCGGGAGAGAUGACUACAAAACUCGUGUCUAAAUUUAGCCACUUUCCCUUUCAAGUGUGGUAAGAUGCCUUUUUCUUUUUUUAAUAGCAAGAACUGCUUUAGAUUGGGAAGAGUGGAGGAAUGUUUGUUUUGGAGAACUUCUACAGGCACAUGGAAUCUUACGGUACAGAAAGGAAAGAAAUAUCAGUAUCUCCAAUGAAACAAAGGAGCCAUAAAACCCAGCGCCUGUUUAGGGAUAUGUUAAUGGCAGGAAGGAAACCACUGCUUCAGGAUAUAUCCUGAAUAUAUGUGAGACUGGAUUACGAACAACAUCACAGUGUACUUCUUGCGGUUUCCUUGAAAUUACCUCCAGCCCUGCUGAACACCUAGUGGGAGGAGAUCCCCAUUCACAAAGAUCUAAGUUACGAUGGACAAUGCUUACUAUAACACAGCUCUGCUAGGCUGGCCCUCUUCAUUGGAUGGAUUUCCAAAGGAUGAUCAGAUGCCAAAUAGAAGGAUGGCAAAUACAUGGAAGGAGCAUGUGAAACCUGCAAUAGACAUGCACUGAAUUAGGACAUCGAGUAAUAGAACAUAGCUGAGGAUGAAUAUGGAAUAAUGGCACUAUGUUUUAUCCUUAGACAUUCCCUUAAAUGUGGUAGAAAGGGACAACUAGACCAGGUUCCAUUUCUGGCCUCACCAUGUACAUACUGUCCCUUUGGGAAGUUCCUUAAAUGCACUGAGAUUAACUUUCCUCAUCUGUUAAUAUCUAUAUUGCAGGCUCGUGAAGUUUUUCUGGCGGAUGUGUGAAUGUUAAAUAAGAUAACUUGCGUCGUUACAAGAUUAGUGGGGUAAUUUUUUUUGAGGAGGAGGAUUAGCCCUGUGCUAACAUUUGCCACCAAUCCUCCUCCUCUUUUUGCUGAGGAAGACUGGCCCUGAGCUAACAUCUGUGCCCAUUUUCCUCUACUUUAUGUGUGGGACGCCUGCCACAGUGUUGCUUGAUAAGCUGUGUGUAGGUCCACACCCAGGAUCCGAACCGGCAAACCCCGGGCUGCGGAACGUGUGAACUUAACUGCUGUGCCACCAGGCCGGCCCUCAUGGAGUAUUUUUAAAUAUUAAAAAUGUUUCUGUUUUCUCAGACUUUCUUAUAUCCGUGAUCUUUCUCUUGCUCUUCGGGGAGCUUUCUGUAGACACUUUCCUUGGUUUUGGAGAGACCGGUGGGGAGGGCUAAGAAGAGGACAUAACCACUCCAGAACUAGGACUUUUUUUUCCUUGGGGUAUGUGUUUAAGGCCUUGAAAUUCUGACUUUCAUUUGCAAGAGCUAGGCCCAGGAGAGAGAAAUGCUUCUCUGACCUUGAAGCCCUCAGCUGACCACAGAAAUCAGUCAAGCCAGAGUAGACCAGAACUGCAUAUCUGACCCAGAGAAUAUCAGAAAUUUUUAAAAAGUGAUGGUAAUUUUAAGCCACUGAAUUUCAGGGUGUUUGUCACUGAGAAGUAAAUAACAGAUGUAAGAUUUCUGAGAUGACAGAACUGCCCUGAUUGCCCCGUUUGACUGAGGUUGAAUCUUGAAUUAAUGAAAUAUUUGCCCCAGAAAGACUGUUUUAAACUGAAAGACACUGCCCCCGCUGGAAAUGACACAUAUAAAGUAGCUUUUGUUCCCUCCAGAGAGAACUUGAGGACUUGUGAUGAGGCUGAAUUCUGGUGUGGAGAAAUCCAGAAAAUUACAUUCCUGUACUUCCGAGUAUCUUUUAAUGUAAAUUUAAAACAGCAUUCCUCAAAUUCUCGUGUGCAUAUGAAUCACCUGGGGUCUGGUUAAAUGCAGAUUCUGAAUCAGGAGGUCUAGGUGUCUAGAUCAUGUUCCUGACUCCGCAUUUCUAACAAAGUUGCCAGGUAAUGCUGGUGCCGCUGCUCUGUGGAUCACACUGAGUAAUAAGGCUUUACAUGACCAAAUGCUUGGUAGUGAUCAUGGUGGAUGAUGCUCAAUGAAUGUUAGCUCCUUCCUCCAUCAAGGCCCUCAUCUCCCUCUUUCACAGCUCCCCAGGAAGUCUGAUAUGGAAAGACUUGGCUCCAGAAACUCCCUCCUGCCCAUAGGGAAUGAGUUACCUCCAGCGCUGUGACACAUUUCAUUCCUUCACCCCCUGUCAUCUCAUGAGAACACUUGCCAUCCAUUGAUCUGCACUUGAGUCUCUGUCCUUCUGGUCAAACCCAAUAGGAUUAUUUCUUUUUCUGAUUCUCCCUCUUCUUGACAUUUCUGUUCCCUCUGUUACUAUUGACCAUUUCUUUACUCUUGAAAUAUUCUCCCGUUCUGCUUUCUGAGUUCUCCUGAUUCGGCUUACACGUCUUCUAGACCACAUUACUUUUUCCCCUUCUCUACGGUCUCCCAUUGUCUUCCUACACUCCUUGUAAACAUCUUGCAGAGAACCACCUCCAUGUACAUCUUCUAAAGCCAUGCUUGGGACUUUAUCUCCCAAUUUUUUGUCUACUCAGCAAUAAACAUUCAUUGAACUCCUCUUGUGCCA